rnacentral:tRNA from 1 species
CCGACCUUAGCUCAGUUGGUAGAGCGGAGGACUGUAGUGUGAAACAUAGCCAUCCUUAGGUCACUGGUUCGAAUCCGGUAGGUCGGA